AAAUAAGAAACAAAUUAUUGUGCUUAGUUUCGACCUAAGAUUUUGAUGGAAUAUCCUUAUUUU
rnacentral:tRNA from 2 species